rnacentral:misc_RNA from 1 species
UGAAUCUCCUUAACAAUUAAGGAAGAAGAAAGGAAGAAGAAACAAGAAAAGGGUAAAAAGGAGGAAGAAAGGGCCUCUCUUCCUCUUUUGUAGUAUAAAGAGGCCCUCAAGGAGUGUGAGAGGGUAGGAGGAAGGGAGGAGGUCAAUCAUCAAUGGAUUUCGAAAGCAACAAUUGGGUUUGGGAAGGGAUGUAUUACUAUCCACGCCUUUUUGGUGGAAUCAUGCUGACUGCAGCACUGCUCGGGUUAUCCACGAGUUAUUUUGGUGGGAUCAGUGUUCCUACGCUUCUUUAUCCUUUUCCUUAUCUAAGUAUCUUCUAUAAAAAGAAGCAUGAGAAGAAGCGUGUUCGUGUUUAUAUGGAUGGUUGUUUUGACCUGAUGCACUAUGGCCAUGCAAAUGCUUUGAGACAAGCAAAAGCCUUGGGAGAUGAACUGGUAGUUGGUGUUGUCAGUGAUGAGGAAAUCAUAGCUACUAAGGGUCCUCCAGUUUUGUGCAUGGAAGAAAGACUUGCUCUUGUUAGUGGCUUGAAGUGGGUGGAUGAAGUGAUUUCCAGUGCUCCUUAUGCAAUUACUGAAGACUUCAUGAACCAUCUAUUCAAUGAGUAUAAGAUUGACUACAUUAUACACGGUGAUGAUCCCUGUCUACUGCCCGAUGGAACUGAUGCGUAUGCACUAGCAAAGAAAGCUGGUCGUUACAAGCAGAUUAAACGCACUGAAGGUGUCUCCAGCACAG